rfam:Triticum aestivum genome assembly, contig: Triticum_aestivum_CS42_TGACv1_scaffold_288266_4AL
AACCUACUCCCUCCGUUCCGAAUUACUUGUCUUGGAUUUGUCUAGAUACGGUUGUAUCUAGCACUCAUUUUAGUGUUAGAUACAACCGUAUCUAGACAAAUCCAAGACAAGUAAUUCGGAACGGAGGGAGUAGAAG